rnacentral:lncRNA from 1 species
UGAAAUGCUGUAGCUCCACGUUGAAACUCUCCAUCACUUCGCGAAGGAAAUGAUAUGGAGGCAUCCGAAGCCCGCAGGUGAAGAAAUCCCUAAAAACAACAGCAUAACCUUCACCAGGCGCAGGCACCGUUUGACCCGCAGGAGGAGCCUCCGCCCGACCAUCCUUGAAAAACCUAGCCUCAACCAUGUCAGCGAUAUCCUCCGUCCUCACAGUCGACUGCCCGAACUCAAAAGUAAUCGCCGCCAUCUCCUCAAACUCCUUCGCACUGAUCAAGUCACCAACAGAAGCUUCGACGUCAGAUAACGUCUCCUCCAAAUCUCGAGCUGCGGCCACCUCAAGCAUCCACUCCUCAAACCUCCGCAGCCAACCUCCAGACCUCACACUAAGGAAAUUGCGCAAAGGACCAGAAAAAUCUGACCUCGAAGGACGCGGUGAAGGAAGCUGAGCCACCGUAAAACCUCCGACAAUACUUUAGAACUAAACAAAAACGCACGCGAGCAGCUCAGAGAGAAAGAUGUAGCGAAGGAAGGUGUGCAGGCAAUGAGCAGCAGGGGUGAGAGCUCAAAGCUCCCCAGCAUCCCCUUUUAUAGGGGGGGGCCUGCGACCGCGCGGCCGUUGCGAUUCCCCGCGCCCAACGGCUAUAAGCGGAGGAAUCGGCCAGACCGUUGCGCUUCGUCAAUGCCAACGGCUAACUCCAACGGCAAUAACAUCCUCCGCAAUC